GACGAACGCUGGCGGCGUGCUUAACACAUGCAAGUCGAACGGAAAGGCCCUGCUUUUGUGGGGUGCUCGAGUGGCGAACGGGUGAGUAACACGUGAGUAACCUGCCCUUGACUUUGGGAUAACUUCAGGAAACUGGGGCUAAUACCGGAUAGGAGCUCCUGCUGCAUGGUGGGGGUUGGAAAGUUUCGGCGGUUGGGGAUGGACUCGCGGCUUAUCAGCUUGUUGGUGGGGUAGUGGCUUACCAAGGCUUUGACGGGUAGCCGGCCUGAGAGGGUGACCGGCCACAUUGGAGCUGAGAUACGGCCCAGACUCCUACGGGAGGCAGCAGUGGGGAAUAUUGCACAAUGGGCGGAAGCCUGAUGCAGCAACGCCGCGUGCGGGAUGACGGCCUUCGGGUUGUAAACCGCUUUCGCCUGUGACGAAGCGUGAGUGACGGUAAUGGGUAAAGAAGCACCGGCUAACUACGUG
rnacentral:rRNA from 1 species